rnacentral:rRNA from 1 species
UACGUAGGGUGCAAGCGUUAAUCGGAAUUACUGGGCGUAAAGCGUGCGCAGGCGGUUCUAUAAGACAGAUGUGAAAUCCCCGGGCUCAACCUGGGAACUGCAUUUGUGACUGUAGAGCUGGAGUGCGGCAGAGGGGAUGGAAUUCCGCGUGUAGCAGUGAAAUGCGUAGAUAUGCGGAGGAACACCGAUGGCGAAGGCAAUCCCCUGGGCCUGCACUGACGCUCAUGCACGAAAGCGUGGGGAGCAAACAGG